ensembl:snoRNA
AAGUUAAAAAUAAUAAAAUGUGUAGCUUCACUGUAAAUGCCUGCAAGGUCUGAGUACUAUUGAAAUCACAGAAGGGUCCAAAGAGCUGUGCUUCUCUUGUGGCUCAGUUUUACUUCAGGUUUGGGACAGUUUUCA